rnacentral:rRNA from 1 species
ACAAGCGAGCGGCGGACGGGUGAGUAACACGUGGGUAACCUGCCCAAGAGACUGGGAUAACACCUGGAAACAGAUGCUAAUACCGGAUAACAACACUAGACGCAUGUCUAGAGUUUGAAAGAUGGUUCUGCUAUCACUCUUGGAUGGACCUGCGGUGCAUUAGCUAGUUGGUAAGGUAACGGCUUACCAAGGCAAUGAUGCAUAGCCGAGUUGAGAGACUGAUCGGCCACAUUGGGACUGAGACACGGCCCAAACUCCUACGGGAGGCAGCAGUAGGGAAUCUUCCACAAUGGACGAAAGUCUGAUGGAGCAACGCCGCGUGAGUGAAGAAGGGUUUCGGCUCGUAAAGCUCUGUUGGUAGUGAAGAAAGAUAGAGGUAGUAACUGGCCUUUAUUUGACGGUAAUUACUUAGAAAGUCACGGCUAACUACGUGCCAGCAGCCGCGGUAAUACGUAGGUGGCAAGCGUUGUCCGGAUUUAUUGGGCGUAAAGCGAGUGCAGGCGGUUCAAUAAGUCUGAUGUGAAAGCCUUCGGCUCAACCGGAGAAUUGCAUCAGAAACUGUUGAACUUGAGUGCAGAAGAGGAGAGUGGAACUCCAUGUGUAGCGGUGGAAUGCGUAGAUAUAUGGAAGAACACCAGUGGCGAAGGCGGCUCUCUGGUCUGCAACUGACGCUGAGGCUCGAAAGCAUGGGUAGCGAACAGGAUUAGAUACCCUGGUAGUCCAUGCCGUAAACGAUGAGUGCUAAGUGUUGGGAGGUUCCGCCUCUCAGUGCUGCAGCUAACGCAUUAAGCACUCCGCCUGGGGAGUACGACCGCAAGGUUGAAACUCAAAGGAAUUGACGGGGGCCCGCACAAGCGGUGGAGCAUGUGGUUUAAUUCGAAGCAACGCGAAGAACCUUACCAGGUCUUGACAUCCAGUGCAAACCUAAGAGAUUAGGUGUUCCCUUCGGGGACGCUGAGACAGGUGGUGCAUGGCUGUCGUCAGCUCGUGUCGUGAGAUGUUGGGUUAAGUCCCGCAACGAGCGCAACCCUUGUCAUUAGUUGCCAUCAUUAAGUUGGGCACUCUAAUGAGACUGCCGGUGACAAACCGGAGGAAGGUGGGGAUGACGUCAAGUCAUCAUGCCCCUUAUGACCUGGGCUACACACGUGCUACAAUGGACGGUACAACGAGAAGCGAACCUGCGAAGGCAAGCGGAUCUCUUAAAGCCGUUCUCAGUUCGGACUGUAGGCUGCAACUCGCCUACACGAAGCUGGAAUCGCUAGUAAUCGCGGAUCAGCACGCCGCGGUGAA